UGGGGAAUAUUGCACAAUGGGGGAAACCCUGAUGCAGCGACGCCGCGUGAGCGAUGAAGGCUUUCGAGUCGUAAAGCUCUGUCCUAUGGGAAGAUAAUGACGGUACCAUAGAAGAAAGCCCCGGCUAACUACGUGCCAGCAGCCGCGGUAAUACGUAGGGGGCUAGCGUUGUCCGGAAUCACUGGGCGUAAAGGGUUCGCAGGCGGAAUAACAAGUCAGAUGUGAAAGGCAUGGGCUCAACCCAUGUAAGCAUUUGAAACUGUAAUUCUUGAGAAGUGGAGAGGUAAGUGGAAUUCCUAGUGUAGCGGUGAAAUGCGUAGAUAUUAGGAGGAAUACCUGUGGCGAAGGCGACUUACUGGACACAAAUCUGACGCUGAGGAACGAAAGCGUGGGUAGCAAACAGG
rnacentral:rRNA from 1 species